ACACAACAGAGCUCCUAGGUCAGUGCUGGCACCACAGGCAGAUCAGCUGAAGAAGAUAACACUUUUCCCAUGUUUCCCUGCUGGUUUCUUACGGCCUUCCUGGCCCAUGUAGGCUGGGCUCUUCAGCAAACCCCAGACAUGAUUGUCGGACUGGGAGACUCUCUGACUCUGAACUGUUCAGACAAAGAGAGUGUAAUCCAGACCAUGUUCUGGUACAAGCUGCCAGUGGGGAAGAACGCCACUUUGCAGCUGAUUGUUCGUUCAGUGGAAGGUAGCAAAGCAGAGUUUGAGGAAGAAUUCAAAAGCCGCUUCCAAAGCAGUGGGACUAAGGAGAAAUCCUUAUCAAUGGCGAUAGAUCACGUCCUACUCAAUGACUCAGGCACUUAUUUCUGCGCUAAGCAAGAUACACUGUGACACGAAGGCUGGAGCAGCACAACG